rnacentral:rRNA from 1 species
UACGGAGGAUGCGAGCGUUAUCCGGAUUUAUUGGGUUUAAAGGGUGCGCAGGCGGAUUUUUAAGUCAGCGGUCAAAUCGUGGGGCUCAACCCCAUCCAGCCGUUGAAACUGGGGAUCUAGAGUGUGCGAGAGGUAUGCGGAAUGCGUGGUGUAGCGGUGAAAUGCAUAGAUAUCACGCAGAACCCCGAUUGCGAAGGCAGCAUACCGGUGCACAACUGGCGCUCAGGCACGAAAGCGUGGGUAUCGAACAGG